rnacentral:sRNA from 1 species
AUCUGCUCCUCCCCGCUCACUCAGGUCUCCUGCUCAGGAAGCCCUUGCCGAAGGCGCGGGAGAUUCUUGCUGAAGGGGGGUUCCAGGGGCAGCGCAGCAACCCGGGGGACCUUUCUUCUCCUUGUUGGCCUUGACCCCAAGUGUUCCCGGGUGCUGAUGGGGCGACUGGGGUGUGUGAGCCCUGCCGCCAGGGUCUGGCUGGGGUUGCGCGAGGAGCUGUUCGUGGUUCUGAAACGAUGCCAGCUCGGGCGCGGGCUGUGGCCUGGCGGAUGAGCGCUGUCCGUGGUCCUGAAGAGGUUCCUGGGCCCCGGCGGUGGCGACAGCGGUGCCUAGGAGGCCGGCAGCGGGGACGACUACGAGAUGUCAGCCAGGAAGAAUCUCCCUCCCUAAUAUCAGGAAAGC